CCUACGGGAGGCAGCAGUGAGGAAUAUUGGUCAAUGGGAGCAAUCCUGAACCAGCAAUGCCGCGUGUGGGAUGACAGGGCUUCGCCUUGUAAACCACUGUCGGACGGGACGAAAGGAGGCCUCGGGCCUCUGGGACGGUACCGUCAAAGGAAGGGUCGGCUAACUACGUGCCAGCAGCCGCGGUAAUACGUAGGACCCGAGCGUUGUCCGGAUUUACUGGGUAUAAAGGGUGCGUAGGCGGCCUUGUGCGUCAGAGGUGAAAUAUCCGGGCUUAACCCGGAGGGUGCCUUUGAUACGGCAGGGCUUGAGUGCGAGAGAGGAUGAUGGAAUUCCUGGUGUAGCGGUGAAAUGCGUAGAUAUCAGGAGGAACACCGGUGGCGAAGGCGGUCAUCUGGCUCGUAACUGACGCUGAGGCACGAAAGCGCGGGGAUCAAACAGGAUUAGAUACCCUGGUAGUCCGCGCCCUAAACGAUGUAUGCUUGGUGUUGGGCCCGCAAGGGUUCAGUGCCGUAGGGAAUCUGAUAAGCAUACCACCUGGGGAGUACGAUCGCAAGGUUAAACUCAAAUGAAUUGACGG
rnacentral:rRNA from 1 species